GUUUGCAGUGAGGCAAGAUUGCACCACGGCUCACAAAAAAAAAAAAAAAAAGAGCACUCCAGGAUUAUUACAACCUAACCCUGUUAUGUGAUCUGUAAAUGAAAUUGCACCACCUCGGGGGUCUCAGAAACUUUACACAGGCACCAUACAGAAGCAACAAAAUUCCCCCAAGAGAAACUCACAUCAACUCAGGCCACAAAAGAAUCCCACAAAUAAAGUUUCAAGGUACAUGAGCUCUCAGUAUUUUUAAAAAAUUCACAAAACACAGGAAAACAAGGCAAUAGAGAGAAAUGAUAAAACAACAGAUGGGACGACUAGACCUAUAAAGAAUUGGACUGAAAUACUGAUAUCUUCCAUGUAAAAUAUUAAAAUGCCUAGUAAGUUUAAGGAAAUAAUGGAUUGAAAAUAUAAGUUAACACCUAAAGACCAGAUUGUUGACAUUUAAGAUAACACCUAUUUUUCGCUCCUAGAUUGUUCACACCUAAAAGCUAGAUCAUUAACAUAUUAGAUAAGUUAACCUAGAUAGGUUAACACCUAAGACUACAUACCAAUAAGAGUGAACUAGGUAAUUUAGAUCAACUUUCCCACAGCGAACAACUAAAAAAAGUUGGAUAAAAAAAUUUUUUAAUCACUUGAAGACAUUGAAACACUAUAGGGCAGUAAAGAUCUAGGGGGCCAAGAUCUAGGAGAAAAAGAAGGCCUAGAAUAGUCUUCCUGGUAUUUGAGGCUGUUUUUCCUAAAAUGGAAUCUAAUUUUUAAAAAAGGAAGAUAUUACCUUGGUGCAAAAAUAAUUGCAGUUUUUGCCAGCACAGCAGAAACUGCAGUUACUUUUGCACCAACAUAAUAAAAGACUGAGAAGCUCGGCAAAAUUGCAGUCUGGGACCUGCCAACUCUGGUAAACUUCCUGAUAUCUUGAGUCAGGAUCUUGAAGAGAAAGGGACAUCUUAGAAAUAAAGGUAAACCUUAAAUAGACUACUCAUAAGAGUAAAUAAUACCCAACUUCAAAUAAUCCCAAUCCCUGACAUGAGAUUAAGGUAAUCUGAGAUGUCUAGUACCUUUCUGACAGAAGAUUACAUCAUUCUAUUAAUAACAAGCUUCAAGUUAUUUCUUGAUUUGUAUGUAUAAUGUUUGUAGUUAAUAAAAAUAACCAGGCUCAUUAGGAAAUAAAAUGUCAUUGAAAACAAAAAUUUAAAAAACAAACAACAAACACAUAGGAACUCAGAUAUCAGAGUUAUCAGAGACACACUUUAAAAUAACAAUGCUUCAGUGUGUUUAGGAAGAUUAAGGAUAGGAGCAGCUUUGGCUAUGGUGACGUGAAGAAGUUAGGUUAACCCUCUCCACAAAAAUCAAGCAUAAAACAGGAUAGAAUUGCCCAAAGCAACAAUCUGAGGGGUCUGGAAAUUGACCAAAAUCAGACAAAAAAAAUUAAAUAGGAUUUAUUCUUAAAAACACUGUUUGCUAGAACUUUGGUUGAGAAUAGUGGGACUCUGACUUUCUUGCCGAAGACUGCAACCAUCACCUUUACUCCAAGCUCUGUUGGCAAGAAUAGUAGUUUGACCAGUGUGAAGCUGAUUGAGAAAGUUAUCAGCUUUUCUAUCAGGGACAGACUUUGUAUGAAGAAGACGGAGGAGAAGACCAUUGGCUUGUGAAAGUGAUGGAUUCAUGGAGAAAUGAACCAGGGAAGACUGCAACCUUGCUAGCCUAAGAUUUGCAGUGAGUAGUGAACUAGUAAAAUAUCUAACGUAAGAUCCUGGAAAUCAGAGAUUCACAGAGGGACCAAAUAGCUUGUUCACACAUCCCUGGAUGACUGAAACAUGGGCAUGUGCAGGGGAGACCAUGAAGAUCUCACCAAAAAGUAAAAGAAAAGGGAGACAAAAACUGGCUGAGUUUUGAAUAUGCUGGCCAACCUUCUCACACAGAUUGAUUGCCAGACGGCAGGAGCCUUAAAGACUCAAGGUGUUUGAGCACAGUUUCCACCCACAUGAUUAGCUGACCACUAAGCUAUGCAGACAUGGGAUGAACACUAGGGAGUCAGGCUAGAAAAUAAAACUGAAGAACAAAAACUGAGCAGACACAUGAGCACCAUGGGAAGAGACAGAUUCCACAGUCUAAGUCCAAGCAACUUAGUCUGUGGGAAGAAAAAAACCCUCAAAAAUAAAUAAGACUCCAGCAUUGCUACAAUAUAUUAUCUAAAAUGUCUAAUUUUAAAAAAUAUGAGUGAUGCAAAGAAACAGGAAAGAGUGAAACAUACUCAGAGGGAAAAACAGUAAAUAGAAACUUAGAGUGAGCCCAGAUGUAUUUGGGAGCCAGAGCCUUCAAAGUAGCUAUUAUAAAUAUAUUCCCCAAAGAUAAGGGAAAAUAUAAUGACAGUGACUCAAAAGUAGGAACGCUAAAUAUAGAAAUGGCAACUGUGAAAAUGCAAAUUUUAGAGUGGAAAAGGGCAAUUGCUGAAAUGAAAAAUUAGCUAUACGGGAUUACCAGAAAGAUCUGAGAUGGCAGAAGAAAGCAUCAGUGAACAUGGAAAUAGAUUAACAGAGAUUAUUCUGAAGAUCAGACAAAACUAAGUUUGACCAAACAUUAAACAAAGCCUCAGAGAUUUGUACAACAAUGUCAAGCAUACCAACAUACCUGUAAUGAGAGUCCCAGAUGGAGAGGAGAAAGAAAGACAAACAAUGGGAAAAUAGAUUUUAAAAAAUAGUGGAGCCCCAAUUAGGAUCAACACAAAGAUAUCUAUGAUAGACACAUUAGUCAAAAUGCUCAACGACAAGGGCAAAACAUUAAAAGCAGCAAGAGAAAGACAUAUAUAUUACUGCAGAGGUAAUAAUGCUAGGAUUAAUGCUAGAAUUAACUAAUGUUGACUUCUUCAGAAAGCAUGAAGGCUAGAAGACAAUAAGAUGACAUAUGUAAAGUGCUGACAAGAAAACAAGCUGUUAAUGAAUAAUCCUAGAGAAAUUCCUCUUUAAAAAUGAAGAUGACAUAAAAACAUUGUCAGAUAAACAAAAAUUGGAAGAAUAUCAUGCCAGUAGACCUGUUCUACAAGAAAUACUAAAUUCCUUUAAGCUGAAAGAAAUAACACAAACUGGUAAAUCUAUUGCCUAAGAAGAAAUGGUACAUAUGUGGGAAAAUAAAUAGUGUGUACAUUUUUCUCUUCCUCCCAAUUGAUUUUAAAAACAUGAUGUUUAAAGCAAUAACUCUAACACUGUAUUGUUGGAUUUAUUAAACAUAAAGAUAUAAAUAACAUUAGCAGAAAGGAAGGAUGGGAAAUUGAGCUAUACAGAGGCAAAGUUGCUGUAUUUUGCCAGAAUUAGGUCAGUAUUAACUUGAGGUAAAAUGUGAUCAAUUGAAGAUUCAUAUUAUAAUUCCUAGGGCAGUAACCAAGAGAAUAACACAAAAAGUAGAUUAAAAAAUAAGCAGGAAUGAAAGUGAUCACAAAAAAAAAAAUGUGUUUAACAUAAAAGAAGGUAGUAAAAGAGGAACAGAGGAACAAAAAGAACCUGAUAUAUAAAUAUGCAGGAAACAAAUAGCAAAUGACAUAUGUAAAUAGAACCAUGUCAAUAAUGGCAUUAAAUAUGCAUUAAUGAAAGGACAUUCACCAUCAUUAGUUAUUAGGAAAAUGUCAAUCAAAACCAUGUGAGAUACUAUUUCACAUCUACUAGGUUAAAAAAGAUAGAUAAUAGCAAGUGUUGGUGAGGGAGGAGGUGGAGACAUUGGAACCCUCAUGCACUGCUGGUGGGAAGGUAAAAUGUUUGGCUGCUUUCAGUCUGGCAGUUUCUGAAGAGGCAUAUACCCAAGAGAAAUGAAAACAUCCAUACAAAUCUUGUAUGAAAAUAUUCAUAGUAACAUUAUUCAUGAUAGCCAAAAAGUUAGAAACAACUCUAAUUCUAACAGCUAACAAACAGAUAUAUUAAAUUUGGUUAUGUCCACACAACAAAAUAUUAUUCAGCAAUAAAAAAGAAAUUUUGAUAUAUGUACAACAUGGAUGAAUCUUGAAAACAUUGCAUUACAUGAGAAAAUCCAAUCACCAAAGACCAUAUGUUAUAUGACUGCAUUUAUAUGAUAUGUGCAGAAUAGGAAAAUCUACAGUGACAGAAAGUACAUUAGUGGUUGCCUAGGGCUGAGGGUGGGGUGGUGGAGUAGGAAACAACUACAAAUGGGUACUGAGUUUUUUGAGGGGUAAGUACUAUUGUUUUAAAAUCAGAUUGUGGUGAUGGUUGCACAUUAAAGGCCUAUUAACCUCAUAAAGUUGUCAUUAGUCUUUGAAGUAAAAAUAUGUAAAAUAAAAAUAUCUGUAUAUAUAACAUAAGAAUUUGUCUCUAAACAGGGCCUAAAAUUCUUUGGAAAAGUUUGACAAGAUAUAUCACGUGAAUUCAGAUUCACCUCAAAGAAUUAUGUUUAGAUAGGAAAAAGGAAAUUUAUUUUUGUCUCAAGUAGAAAAAUAUAUGGCUUUGAGUUUUAAGCAGAUUUAGACUUUUAAAAUGUUAGAAUUGAUUCUUACUAAAAGUGAUUUGUAAAAUUACACCUUUGGUUUGAUCACCAGUGAUUACAAUGUUAUUCUCAUACCUUUGUAUAUUGAACUAUUUCUAGAACCAACUUUAUGUAGCUCCUGAACAGUAUGAGAGUGUGAUUGGUAUUUGUCACUUUUAUUUUAAAACUAGCAUCUGAACACUUCAAAGUUGUCAAUGUGGAUUGGUUAGACCAAUAACCACUGUUUGAUCCUUACUAUUAAAUUUUGUAACUAUCUAAUGGUAUAGUUCUUUCAAACAGGUGACAUGUUUCCGUGAUUGUUAUUUGGGAGGCAAUAAUUUAAUCAGUUCUUGUUUAA